UUUGAUUGACAGCUCUGUGUGCUGCAUCUGUCUGUCAGGUCAGCAGGUCAGGAGUCUAACAGCUUGAUCCGUCUGAUUUCUCUUCUUUUUUACUUCGUUUGGACAGUUUGUUUAACACAUAUCUGACAACAUACAUGGCUUGCUGUGCGGUUAACAGACCAUCCAACAAGAUGUUUCAGUUUUUUUUGAUAAACCCUGCACUAAAAGUCCAUGUUCUCCUGGAUCCAUGUCACAUGCUCAAGCUUCUUCAGAAUGACUUUUCAACAGUCGAAGUUCUGGUGAGAGAAGAUGGCCAGCAGAUAAGACGGCAGUACAUGAAGGAGCUCCACAAGCUUCAGGAGAAGGAGGAGGGUUUGCACCUUGGAAGACUGUAUUCAUGCUUCAGCUGUUCAAAUAAAAAUAGAUUUCC